CUGACAUAAACAUCUAUGGCACCCUGAUGAGUUGAGGCUUUCAGACAUCCUGCGGAUGAAUCUGGGAGGAAGAAAAAAAAUGGAAAGCUUAUGGCUCUGGAAUAUUUAGCAUGAUGUUUGCUACAGAUACCUUUUGGAUGCCUUUUAUCAGAUUAAGGAGGCUUCCUGCUAUUUCAGAUUGGUUUUAUUGUUGCUGUAAUAAUAAAGUAGCAAAAGAAGUGUCAGGAAUUAAACAAAAAUUCACUGCUUGGAAUCAUAAUAAUAUCAAGUGGAAAGAAAUGUCAGCUGCUGUCAAAUAACCUGGACCCAAAGGGAAAAGGAGAUACCUGAACAUUCUCGUAGCUUCACAGAAGGGCUUGGAGUCAAAGACCACUGUGAGCAGCUACGUAAACACCAACGAUGAGGAGGGUGACAACUUUGAUCAUCAAGGCUGUUCAUCACUAUUAAUAAUUGCUAUCACUUGGCAGUUUCUUGUUCCAGAGACAAUGUCAUCUGCUCUACUUGAACUACACCAUUUGAGUCUCACCACAACCCAAAGAGACAGGUAUCAUAUUUUCCCCAUUUUACACAGCAAGAAAGCUAAGACCCAGAAAUGUCAAAUAACUUUAUCAGGGUGACAUGUUAGGAAACAACAAAAUCUGAACUAACAAUUAGAAUCCAGCCCUGUAUGCCUCUAAAGCCUACACUCUGUAUUUUUUUCUUUUUUCUUUUUUUUUUUUUUUUAAGGU